GAUGAACGCUGGCGGCGUGCCUAAUACAUGCAAGUCGAGCGAACAGACGAGGAGCUUGCUCCGCUGACGUUAGCGGCGGACGGGUGAGUAACACGUGGAUAACCUACCUAUAAGACUGGGAUAACUUCGGGAAACCGGAGCUAAUACCGGAUAAUAUAUUGAACCGCAGGGUUCAAUAGUGAAAGACGGUUUUGCUGUCACUUAUAGACGGAUCCGCGCCGCAUUAGCUAGUUGGUAAGGUAACGGCUUACCAAGGCAACGAUGCGUAGCCGACCUGAGAGGGUGGUCGCCCACACUGGAACUGGGACACGGUCCAGACUCCUACGGGAGGCAGCAGUAGGGAAUCUUCCGCAAUGGGCGAAAGCUUGACGGAGCAACGCCGCGUGAGUGAUGAAGGUCUUCGGAUCGUAAAACUCUGUUAUUAGGGAAGAACAAAUGUGUGAGUAACUAUGCACGUCUUGACGGUACCUAAUCAGAAAGCCACGGCUAACUACGUG
rnacentral:rRNA from 1 species